AGUGAACGCUGGCGGUAGGCCUAACACAUGCAAGUCGAACGGCAGCACAGUAAGAGCUUGCUCUUACGGGUGGCGAGUGGCGGACGGGUGAGGAAUACAUCGGAAUCUACUUUUUCGUGGGGGAUAACGUAGGGAAACUUACGCUAAUACCGCAUACGACCUACGGGUGAAAGCAGGGGAUCUUCGGACCUUGCGCGAUUGAAUGAGCCGAUGUCGGAUUAGCUAGUUGGCGGGGUAAAGGCCCACCAAGGCGACGAUCCGUAGCUGGUCUGAGAGGAUGAUCAGCCACACGGGAACUGAGACACGUUCCAGACUCCUACGGGGAGCAGCAGUGGGGAAUAUUGGGCAAGGGGCGCAAGCCUGAUCCAGCCAUACCGGGGAGGGGAAGAAGGCCUUCUGGUUGGAAAGCCCUUUUGUUGGGAAAGAAAAGCAGCAGGUUAAUACCCCGCUGUUAUGACGGUACCCAAAGAAUAAGCCCCGGCUAACUUCGUG
rnacentral:rRNA from 1 species